rnacentral:rRNA from 1 species
GACGAACGCUGGCGGCGUGCUUAACACAUGCAAGUCGAACGGAAAGGCCCUGCUUUUGUGGGGUGCUCGAGUGGCGAACGGGUGAGUAACACGUGAGUAACCUGCCCUUGACUUUGGGAUAACUUCAGGAAACUGGGGCUAAUACCGGAUAGGAGCUCCUGCUGCAUGGUGGGGGUUGGAAAGUUUCGGCGGUUGGGGAUGGACUCGCGGCUUAUCAGCUUGUUGGUGGGGUAGUGGCUUACCAAGGCUUUGACGGGUAGCCGGCCUGAGAGGGUGACCGGCCACAUUGGGACUGAGAUACGGCCCAGACUCCUACGGGAGGCAGCAGUGGGGAAUAGUGCACAAUGGGCGGAAGCCUGAUGCAGCAACGCCGCGUGCGGGAUGACGGCCUUCGGGUUGUAAACCGCUUUCGCCUGUGACGAAGCGUGAGUGACGGUAAUGGGUGAAGAAGCACCGGCUAACUACGUG